UGUGUUCUCUUGAUUGACUGAAGCUGGAAAACAGAAAGGGGUGGUUAGUUCUUGUCCUUAUUCCUGUCACUGACUUCCAUACAACAUUCUUAAAAACUUAUGAUAACGCCAGAAACAAUUCCAAGAAAAUUAAGGCUUUGCAAUUGGGAACAUGAUUCUCUUGAAGUAUAGCCACUGCAUCCUAUCAAUGUCAACAAGAAGAAGAACUUACUCUUAGAGAAAUGGACAGAAAGGAAUGCUUCUAAGGAUGCCUGAAGCAGAAGCAGAUGGAAGCAUAGAAUGACCCCUUGAAACAAAAUAAGCAAACAGUAUAGAAUAUUAGUGUUUAAGAUGAG